CCCAAGUGUCUUAUAUCAUUUUGAUCGCCUGAAUGUCAUCUGCAUCGUAGUGUGGUUUUUUUGAAGGAGACAAUUUACACCCUGUAAAGGCAUCCAUAAUUUAUUCACAUGAUUAAGAAACUUGUUAGAGACAAAAAAUAUAACAGAUAUUUGAAAACAGUUAACUACCCACUGAUUGUUAACUCAAAAAGUUUUCUUGCAUUUAGCAACACUUGCAAACAUUCCCAAAUCAUUGGAUCAAUUGACAGACUAAUUGAAUGGCCACCAAGGCCAACUUACAUCAUCUCUUUGAUUUCUUUCUGUGAGCCUGCAUAAAGGAUAAUGUUUAUACAAAAAAGAUAAAUAGCAUGGAAGAAUUAUGGGACACAGUAUCAGAGAGAUGUUAAACAUGUAGAGAACAGUUGAGUACAGACUCAAUAUUCUUAGAACAACAAAAGCAGCACACAUCAAAGUUAACUAAUAUGCUAUUAUAAUCUUAAAGGUUUGUAAAAACCAUUGAAUUUGCAAUGUAUAAUUAACUAUUUUUCA
rnacentral:lncRNA from 1 species